rnacentral:lncRNA from 1 species
CAUAUUUCAUGUAUUCUAAGAUGCACUUUUUAAAUUCUUUUUAAAUUUAGUAAUUACUAGCACAUAUUAAUUUUUCAUGAUAAUGGGUUUUAUUAUGACAUUUCUAUACAUGCAGCCAUGUGCUUCUUCCCAAAUCCUGUUUUACCCUUUCCCUUGUCCUUUUCCCCUUUCCUAAUAGGCCCCCUUUCAACUUCCAUUUCUCCUUAUUUUUUGCUAUAUUCCACAAAUGAAAGAACUAAAUGCACACCCUUAUCUAACAUCUACCAUCACCGAAAUCAGAGGAUGCCCUAUGAUCAAUAACUUGCCAUGGUGAAGCAAUAUCACAGUUGCACUGCCUGCUUGCAUGUUCUUGGUUAUAAUUCCUGUUCAAAAUGGCAAGACAACUACUAUCAUUGAUGCUUGAGACAAUCAACAACAUAUGGACCUUUGGAGGAAGAAAUGUGAGUUUCUUCCACCCCAUGUCUACAAGACUGCUGUAAUCAGAUGUCCUGUUCUUUCCUGGACUGAGGAAGUCCUAGAUCAGUUGGAGAAAAUGCAGAGGAAGUGAAGAAUUUAAAUAUACAAGUGUUUAAGAAAUUGGAG